GAUCCUUUCUAGAUCUCUGUGCUCAGCAGAAGCCAGGAAAGACAUGGUCCUGACUGGGAUGAGCUCUCUCAUGCCUCAGAGUCCAAAAGAACUAUAAAGAAUGCCUUAAAGAUGGAGCUGGUUUCCGCCUUCCACCUUCCCGAUGGUAACUGGCACUGACAGGAGAAGCAAACAGCAAUAAGGCCGGAUGCUGAGAAGGAAAAGACAAGCAUAAAAAAAGAAAUCAUUUGAUUUCAGGGCCUUCCUCACCAUAGGGAAGGAUAUUGGCUUUGAUAUGUGGCCUGCAGCACACUUACUGAAUUUUUGAUAGGAGACGACAGAGGUGGACAAAUUCAAGUAGAUAGCGGUCACCCCUGGAAUGCGGCCACUCCGGCGCAUGGUUUUGUUGUUCCAUUCAAUUACAGAAGUGGGAGGUAAUUGGACAGAGCAUGUCAUAACUUAAAUGUCAACUGUAUACCUUGGAGAAAGAGAGCAGAUACAAAGAUUUGUUCCUGAGCGAUGGAUUCUCACAGUUACAGCCUGCCAUGUGCCCUGGAGCACUCAUA